AGAACUAUUGUUACGAGAAAUCAAAUGAUAGGGUAACGCCUUGAAGGGUUUCCUCUAAUACUCCGAAUAGCGUUAUAAUGAGUAAACAUUAUAAGGUUAUGAGCUCGGUGAAGUCAGCUGAGAACUACCGUAAGUAAAUAGAAAUAUUUACACGAAAUGCGAACUGGAGGCAGUCGAGUAGCGAUAGGCUGGGGGUCUAUAAA
rnacentral:ncRNA from 1 species